rnacentral:rRNA from 1 species
UACGGAGGGUGCAAGCGUUAAUCGGAAUUACUGGGCGUAAAGCGUGCGCAGGCGGUUUUGUAAGCCAGAUGUGAAAUCCCCGGGCUUAACCUGGGAAUGGCAUUUGGGACUGCAAGGCUUGAGUGCGGCAGAGGAGACUGGAAUUCCUGGUGUAGCAGUGAAAUGCGUAGAUAUCAGGAGGAACACCGAUGGCGAAGGCAGGUCUCUGGGCUGACACUGACGCUCAUGCACGAAAGCGUGGGGGAGCAAACAGG